rnacentral:tRNA from 1 species
AGAGACUUAGGCUAAUACACAGACCAAGGGCCUUCAAAGCCCUAAGUGAGGGUGAAAAUCCCCCAGUCCCUG